AACGAACCGAGCUUCAUCCUUAAUCUGAAGAAGAAGAACAAGAAGCUCAACGAUCCGCAAAGAACAAACGCGAACAGCGAUCCAAUUUCUCAAGAAAGAUGUCGUGGCAAACGUAUGUUGAUGAUCAUUUGAUGUGCGACAUCGAUGGCCAAGGCCAGCACCUCACUGCCGCUGCCAUUAUCGGCCACGAUGGCAGCGUCUGGGCUCAGAGCGCCGCAUUUCCUCAGUGCAAGCCUCAAGAGAUCACUGGUAUCAUGAAGGAUUUUGAUGAACCAGGGCAUCUUGCACCUACUGGAUUACAUAUUGCAGGCACAAAGUACAUGGUAAUCCAAGGAGAGCCUGGAGCGGUCAUCCGUGGAAAGAAGGGUUCUGGAGGAAUUACCAUAAAGAAGACUGGUCAAGCUCUAGUUUUUGGCCUCUAUGAAGAACCUGUUACUCCAGGACAGUGCAACAUGGUCGUUGAGAGGCUGGGCGAUUACCUAGUCGAUCAGGGUCUGUAGGCUUUAUAAGUCCAUCUCGGUUCCAAGUAUCGAAUUUGGGCCUACAAAUUAUUCUUUUCUUUUUCUUAUUUCCUUUUAUGUUUGUUUGGUUCCAAGUUUGCAAUAUGCUUCUAUCUAAUGCCUCAGAUUUGGCAGAGAAGUUAAUGCAGACAAUAACCUCCUGAAAGAUAUUAACAUCAAUAUAUAGAUAGAUAUUGAAUCCCUCUCAAAACAUUAUUCAAAGAUUAGGACUCUCUUUUGGAUGGUUUUGUGUUGAUGUUAUUGAUUUAUAUUGAUACUUAGGUCAAAUUUGUAAUUUAACUUUGAUAAUUUGGUUUUUUUUCUUUAUAGGAAUAAGGUAGGGAAAAAAAUUCAUUGGUGCACACACAG